rnacentral:rRNA from 1 species
AGAGUUUGAUCCUGGCUCAGGAUGAACGCUAGCGAUAGGCCUAACACAUGCAAGUCGAGGGGCAGCACAUGAAGUAGCAAUACGGAUGGUGGCGAC